GUCUGAAUGGAUGCCGUAUUACAGAGAAACAGAGUCUCAUCCUGACUUCAGCUCUGAAAUCAAACCCGUCACACCUGAGAGAGCUGGACCUGAGCGGGAAUAAACUAGGAGACUCUGGAGUGAAAAACCUCAGUGAUCUACUGAUGAACCCACAAUUCAAGCUGGAGAAACUACAUCUAUAUCACUGUGGCAUUACAGAUGUUUCUUCUUUAACUCAGUCUUUGACUAACUCAAAAGCACUGCAGUUUUUAAAAGAGCUUGAUCUGAGAGACAAUGAGAUCGGAGACUCACAGCAGCGACUCAGAGACGAGCUACGAGACUCAAACUGUGUCCUGAGAGUAGAUUAAGAUCGAUCGGCAAACGUCAGUGGAUUUACAUCAUAGUUUAAAUCUGUGAAACGGAGAUGAGAGGAGCAGAAACCAUCAGGUGAUCCACAGAAGAGUCUCACUGCUGUCUAUGAGGAGAAAUACAUGUGUAAAUGUGUUUCAUACAGGUGGAAGAGUCUCAGACUUCACUAUUAA